AUACGGUUGACGAGUCCCUAAUAGGAUGAAACGCACGUCCUGGAU
rnacentral:hammerhead_ribozyme from 1 species